rnacentral:rRNA from 1 species
UUGUUAGGGAAGAACAAGUGCAAGAGUAACUGCUUGCACCUUGACGGUACCUAACCAGAAAGCCACGGCUAACUACGUGCCAGCAGCCGCGGUAAUACGUAGGUGGCAAGCGUUGUCCGGAAUUAUUGGGCGUAAAGGGCUCGCAGGCGGUUUCUUAAGUCUGAUGUGAAAGCCCCCGGCUCAACCGGGGAGGGUCAUUGGAAACUGGGAAACUUGAGUGCAGAAGAGGAGAGUGGAAUUCCACGUGUAGCGGUGAAAUGCGUAGAGAUGUGGAGGAACACCAGUGGCGAAGGCGACUCUCUGGUCUGUAACUGACGCUGAGGAGCGAAAGCGUGGGGAGCGAACAGGAUUAGAUACCCUGGUAGUCCACGCCGUAAACGAUGAGUGCUAAGUGUUAGGGGGUUUCCGCCCCUUAGUGCUGCAGCUAACGCAUUAAGCACUCCGCCUGGGGAGUACGGUCGCAAGACUGAAACUCAAAGGAAUUGACGGGGGCCCGCACAAGCGGUGGAGCAUGUGGUUUAAUUCGAAGCAACGCGAAGAACCUUACCAGGUCUUGACAUCCUCUGACAACCCUAGAGAUAGGGCUUUCCCUUCGGGGACAGAGUGACAGGUGGUGCAUGGUUGUCGUCAGCUCSUGUCSUGARAUGUUGGGUUAAGUCCCGCAANCRAGCGCAACCCUUGAUCUUAKU